rnacentral:rRNA from 1 species
CCCUGCCUUUUGUACACACCGCCCGUCGCUGCUACCGAUUGGAUGAUCCGGUGAAAUCUUCGGAUAAUAAUAAAUACUUUACUUUGUAAAGUUUAUUGUUAGAAGUUGAUUAAACCUUAUCAUCUAGAGGAAGCAAAAGUCGUAACAAGG